rnacentral:rRNA from 1 species
UACGAAGGGGGCUAGCGUUGUUCGGAGUUACUGGGCGUAAAGGGCGCGUAGGCGGCGCAUCAAGUCAGGCGUGAAAGCCCUGGGCUCAACCCGGGAAUUGCGCUUGAGACUGGUGUGCUUGAGUACGGGAGAGGAUAGUGGAAUUCCCAGUGUAGAGGUGAAAUUCGUAGAUAUUGGGAAGAACACCGGUGGCGAAGGCGGCGAGCUGGUCCAUUACUGACGCUGAGGCGCGACAGCGUGGGGAGCAAACAGG